rnacentral:rRNA from 1 species
CCUACGGGAGGCAGCAGUGAGGAAUAUUGGUCAAUGGGCGGGAGCCUGAACCCGCCAAGUCGCGUGAGGGCAGACGGUCCUACGGAUUGUAAACCUCUUUUGCCAGGGAGCAACGGGGUCCUUGCUAGGGCCCGAUGAGAGUACCCGGAGAAAAAGCAUCGGCUAACUCCGUGCCAUCAGCCGCGGUAAUACGGGGGAUGCGAGAGUUAUACGUAUUGAUUGGGUUUAAAGGAUGCGUAGGCGGGCUGUUACGGCAGCGGUCAAAUGUCGGGUCUCAACCCCGGCCUGCCGUUGAAACUGGCGGCCUCGAGUGGGCGAGAAGUAUGCGGAAUGCGUGGUGUAGCGGUGAAAUGCAUAGAUAUCACGCAGAACUCCGAUUGCGAAGGCAGCAUACCGGCGCCCGACUGACGCUGAGGCACGAAAGCGUGGGUAUCGAACAGGAUUAGAUACCCGUGUAGUC